rnacentral:rRNA from 1 species
CAGUAGCCACGGGAAUACGAGGGGGGCAAGCGUUGUUCGGAAUUAUUGGGCGUAAAGGGUGCGUAGGCGGCUUGACAAGUCUUGUGUGAAAUCUAUGGGCUCAACCCAUAGUCUGCACGGGAAACUGUCGGGCUUGAGAAUGGGAGAGGUGAGUGGAAUUUCCGGUGUAGCGGUGAAAUGCGUAGAUAUCGGAAGGAACACCUGUGGCAAAAGCGGCUCACUGGACCAUUUCUGACGCUGAUGCAUGAGAGCUAGGGGAGCAAACAGGAUUAGAGACCCCGGUAGUCCCUGUCUCUUAUAA